GCGACUGAUUUUCUUUAAAUACAGCAACAUCUCUGGUGGUUCACAAUCAAACCACUAGGAAACGAUUCCGUUCAAGUCGCCAGACAACCAAGCCGACAACCAAGGAAAUAAGUGACAUUUCUUAGUCUACCACCAUCUACCAACACUUGAAAAAAAUGAAGAAUUUUUUUGUAUCAUGCAUAGCUUUCGUGCUAUUUGUUGCUGCAUUCACGCCAUCCAACGCACAGACCACUGAUGAAAUGACAAUUGAUGAGAUAUUCGCAAGGAUAGACAGCGAUCUUACAACCCUCUAUAACUGUAUUUUCAAUGGAUGCAAUGAAGAAACAGAUUCACUAGCAAAGCGAGGACGUGUUGGUCUUGCUCAACUAGACAACAUCGGCCGAAACAGGAUGAGCUACAAGGGUCUUAAGUCAAAGAUUUUGGGAGGCGCUGGAAAACACUGAACACACUACUUCAAGAAAAAAGUACAACAAAAUCAGUGUUUUUAUAAACAUCUUAUCAAAGAAGUUCGGCUGUAGCGACAGACCAUCCAUUGGAAACUUCAACAAUUUUUCUUCACUCGCUCUCUCUAUGUUUCUCUGUUAUAUUUCAAUAGUUUAUCAACAUUCAGAUAUUUAUUUAAAGUGAGUCAAAACUUAUAAAAUCAAGAUAAACCUUCUUGAAAAUGUAAACGCUAUGGUAUAUUUUUAAAGAGGAGAUUGUGAGCCUGCUAAAAUGAUUACAAUGUUGAUGUCUCCCAAUAAUUGUGAUGCCGUGGCUUGCGUUUAAAAAAGAAACAACUUCUAAGAAUCUCCCGUUAUGGACCAAAGAAUCUCGUAUCAAUAUAGGCCUAUAUGUUACGCUAGCAGAUUUUGUCACUCCUAAGUAGUGUAAGUUUGUGCAUCGUUGACUACCCUCCAGAAUUGUUAAUAGCUUUCUAAUAACGAUCUUAAUUGACAGAUGCUAUACAAACCUAAUCUACCCUCGCUUGCUUGAUGUAGAUUUAGAGGCCUGAACCCGGAUUAAUAUACGGUAAAUGAACAAUUGCAAACGGUUGACUCGUAUUGCAUUAACAACCAGUAUUCAAAUUACGUAGAUGUAAAUAAUAGAGAAAAAACGUGGUACACGAAUAUGGAUGUUAUUUUAGUCAGAGUCAAAAAAAAGUCAAAGGUUUCCUACUAUCGUAAAAACAAAAAGUUCCCUUGAUUUAGCCCUAGGCUUAUUCUAAACUUGCAUAGACUAAAUAGAUCAAUUGUUUAUACUGUCCAAAUGUUUAAAAUUUAAUGUUAAAUUUUUGAAAAUUAUAAAAGCUAUACUUCAAUUACUCGGUUGGACGAUCACCGAUUUGCUAUAUUCGUGUGCCUUCAAAUGCAUUCCGUAAAAUUAAUUCUCAAUUAGCCCAAAUGAAUUAUAUUGAAUGUAAAGAUAAAUGUAAUUUCAAUAAACGAAACUUCAAAACUGA